GCUGAAGAGCUACUGUUUGAAGAUAAGGAUUGCUGAUAGACAGCCCCUUCCCACCCUGUUUUUUUUACUGAGACUAGCUGCCUUAAUUGUAAGUGUACCUGAUGAGCUGAAUUUCCCCAUCUUGCCCCCUUUCUGCCUGCUUUUCUAAUCCUUACAAACAUUGAUUACACUUACUUAGAUUAAAUUAUGGCUCAUAAUUAGAUAUAAAAGGUAUUCAUUUCUAGAUAUGGACAAAUUUUCCCAAGAAAUCAAGUAACCUGUAACAUAUUUUGGCUUGAGACAUUUGUGAAAUUUUAGAGCCAAAGGAAACUUUAGUGUUAUCUAGUCCAAAUGUACAAUUUUAUGCAUGAGGAAGUUCAUCCAGAAGGUCAUGGGCCUAUAAUCCUUACUCUAGGUCCAAUUUGCCAGACAAACUCUUUGUACAAAAACAAGCUGUUUCCAACAUUGGAACAGGUGCUUACAACCCUUUAGUGAUAUUCUGCAAUUUUUUAGAUGAUGAAUAAAAUUAUUAACACAAUUUGAUGUCCCUGCAUCCUUUUUGCCCCGGGUGUGGUACACCAGUCCUAUUCAAAUCCACUAUCUUUGAAUAUCCUUGUUGUUCAUUUAUAAAUGUAGUGCUGACCUCUUCAGUUUGGGGACAUACUGUAUUCCUUCCUACCAAGAAAACUUUUUUGCUUAAAUGUUCCUGUAAUGCCCUGGAAUUAUGCCUCUCCCCAUCAUCUCCCAUUAAGUUCUUCUUUAGAAAUAAGCUCAAACAUCUUUCCCAUUAAUUAUAUGAUUGCUUAGUUAUUUGUUAUCACUCACAUAUUCUAUAUACUUCAGUAGCACAGAUCACAAUUGUUAUGAAAUACAUGUGUAAUUUAUUUAUUUGUCUC
rnacentral:lncRNA from 1 species